AGUUCCCUUUCUCUCUCACUUGAUAUUUUCACACUCACUCGGUGUUCUAUCUCAUCUCUCUCAAAGCUUCCUCUCCCUCUCCCACAAGGAGCUCCCUCUCUCUGUCAACAAUUUCACCUAUCCUUCUCAACAAUUUCACCCUCGUUAAACACAUUAUCGCUAACAAUAUCACCACUGUUGUGGCUCUAAUUUAACCCUAAAUAGUUUGGAUCGAAUACACUAUAUCUAACAAUGGCUUCUAAGAUUCAUUUAUCUUUCGAUUUACUAACUUUUGAUCUUCAAUCACGCUUCAGGAUAUAUAUUUCCGCUUUCUUGUCUCUUAUUUGUGUAUUCUAAUAAAAAAUUUCGUUUUCAUUUAUUUGCUUAGGGUUUAAAGAAACCGAAGGUAUACUUUCAAAGGAUUUAAUAGACGACAAUAUAUUUCAAGUACUUGCAACCCGUCUUCCAGAACCUUCCACAGCGCACUCGCUGUCAAGCUCCUUCCCCACCAAGAGAUGACUCAUUUUAUUCCCUCUCGUAACUUCGCUAAGGCGGUCGCAAAGAAGUCGAGCGCAGAUGAUAAUCUCAUUCAAGUUCUUCAAUCUGAAAGUUACUUACUAGUCAGUUUAUCUUGGAUUCUUUGUUUGCUUGCUUUAGUUUUUUGGGUAUACAAUUUUUGAGAAAGUUACUUUCCCUAAGAAUGAAUGUGAUAUGCAGAAGUACUCAGGUCUCCCAUCAAAUCUAUCCAUACGCACUUUAGAUGUCGUCAAAAUCUCCGACUUCAACAGUUGUGAAAGAAUCUUGGUGCAUAUUACAAGCAUCCACUUUAAAAAGAUAAGUAGUCAUCUUACAUCUUGUGAAAUUAAAGUCUUAUGGUUUUAGUUCAUAUAAAUAUCAUUACUUAGGAGAAGUUAAUCUUUUUGCUGUCAUAAUACCGCUUGAUAAGUUAUACGUGAAGAUUUUAUACACAUUGCUUCUACUUAAGCGUAAUGUUUCAGCCAUUAUGAAUAUCAUAAAGACAAAUUCAUCUUUGCAUGAAAUAUUGUUUAUUUAAAUGCUAUAUCCACUUCAAAAGGAUAAAAUAAAUAACUUUGCAUCUCAUUUGUUAGCCAUAUGAAAUAUAGUUUUGUAUGUACCAGCUUCCUGUUAGGCGGUCCUACGAUAUAUAUUGGCUAUAAUUUAGUUCGGCCUUUAUAUGGUUAUUUGCAGCAUGACGACAUCGAUCGGAAUUCUUUAGCCAUACACAACAGGUUGCUAGUUGAUGUUAGCACUGUUGUUCAUCUGGAAUCGGAAUUGGCUCGAUGCUUGUAUUACUUUUCUAAAAGUAUUCAUGAUCUUGAUGAUGCUGCUAUUGUAUACAGAAUUUCUGUAUGUGACAGUCAUAUUAUUAUGGCAAUCUUUUACAAACUCGUUUAUUUCUAAAGACGGUUUGGUGUAUUGUAUUCAAGUACUCUUGACUGAGAUGUACAUCGGUUUGGGGGGAUCAUUCGGCUGUAAUUGGUCGGUGGCCUCAAUCGUUUAACCAACUCGAUAUUGUAACGACGCGACGAAACCGUCCACUCCGAUCUAUCCAUGGUCGUGGUUGUGGCUGUCAUACACAUAAAUGGCUGCAAAAUAUCAGGACACUUAAUUUUGUGAUAAUGCUUUCUUUAUGUAACAGAUUAAGAAGUGUUUGAUUUUCUUUCUAAAGAUCCUACUCUGAUUCCUGCUGCUUCUGAUGAACAUGAUGAUCAAGUUACUCAAUGGACCAAUCAAUCUCCUCAUUAUCCUCCAAACUUCAGAUUCGGAAGAGAACAAUAGGUCAAAAACAAGGUUCGCAUGUAGGAUGACCUAACUCUGUUAUAUCAGAAACAUAUAGCAAGUGAAAACAUAGAGGUGAAUCCAUGACUCAUUUUAUAUUUAGUUUUGGUUUAGGUUUAUUAGAUGUAUAAUGUACUUAGUCAAUCACGAUGCUAUUGUCAUUGAUGUGUAGACACUAAAAUAAUUUGUAUUCAUACAAUUAUAGUAAUCAAGUUUUAAAUUCUUCAAAA